CCUACGGGGGGCAGCAGUGGGGAAUAUUGGGCAAUGGAGGCAACUCUUACCCAGCAAUGCCGCGUGAAUGAAGAAGGUCUUCGGAUUGUAAAGUUCUUUAAUUGGGGACGAAAAAAAUGACGGUACCCAAGGAAUAAGACCCGGCUAACUACGUGCCAGCAGCCGCGGUAAUACGUAGGGGGCAAGCGUUGUUCGGAAUGACUGGGCGUAAGGGGUGUGUAGGCGGUGUAGCAAGUCAGAAGUGAAAUACCUAGAGCUUAACUCAGGUGCUGCUUCUAAAACUGCUAUACUUGAGUGCAGUAGAGGAAAGUGGAAUUCCUAGUGUAGCGGUGAAAUGCGUAGAUAUCAGGAGGAACACCGGCGGCGAAGGCGGCCUGCUGGACCGCGACUGACGUUGAGGCUCGAAAGCGUGGGGAGCGAACAGGAUUAGAUACCCGGGUAGUC
rnacentral:rRNA from 1 species